GAAAAAGCAUGGAGGUGAAGAAGACAGCGAGAGAGCUGAAUGAAGCGGCAUUCAUUUUCCAGGCCAUGGUUGGUGGUGAGUUCCGCAGAAGCCCACACCGCGCACUUGACAUUUAUAGGCAGGCAGCCAACCUACAGCCUACAGGGACGGAACAGCCAUCGCAGUCAACAGUGCUGGCCCAAGAUUUUUAGUUUGCCAAUAACAAGGAGGCAUGCAUGCAUCCUAUCUCUGGUGGUUCACCGGGUUCCGCCAAAUAUUUAAUCUUUUUAGGGGGAUGAGAGAGAGAGAGAGAGGUACCUGUACUGGAAAGUAGAGAGAGCCCUUCUACCAAAACUUUAUUUGUCAGUCACUUUAGGGACAAACAUAUACAUAUGUUAAUUUUUUUUAAUGUUUUGAGAUCUGUGGUUCACUUUACCCUUUUUAAAAAAGGAGAAAUUAUUAA